CAGUCGCCACGGGAAUACAGAGGGUGCAAGCGUUAAUCGGAUUUACUGGGCGUAAAGCGUGCGUAGGUGGCUGUUUAAGUCGGAUGUGAAAGCCCUGGGCUUAACCUGGGAACUGCAUUCGAUACUGGAUAGCUAGAGAUCGGUAGAGGGCAGCGGAAUUCCGGGUGUAGCGGUGAAAUGCGUAGAUAUCCGGAGGAACACCGAUGGCUAAGGCAACUGCCUGGGCCUGAUCUGACACUGAGGCACGAAAGCGUGGGUAGCAAACAGGAUUAGAUACCCCAGUAGUCCCUGUCUCUUAUAA
rnacentral:rRNA from 1 species